rnacentral:rRNA from 1 species
UACAGAGGUCCCAAGCGUUGUUCGGAUUCAUUGGGCGUAAAGGGUGCGUAGGCGGCUCAGUAAGUCGGGUGUGAAACCCCCAGGCUCAACCUGGGGACGCCACCCGAUACUGCUGUGGCUAGAGUCCAGUAGGGGAGUGUGGAAUUCCCGGUGUAGCGGUGAAAUGCGCAGAUAUCGGGAGGAACACCAGCGGCGAAGGCGGCACUCUGGGCUGGUACUGACGCUGAGGAGCGAAAGCGUGGGUAGCAAACAGG